AAUUGAACCCGGAUCUCUUGCAUUCCAUAUCUCGGUAGUCUAAAGGCUCAGGACACUCGCAUGGACACUCAUCAUUAUUCCCACGCAAAAAAUUUUCGCGCAUUCAACUUAGCAGCUUGUAUCAGAUUACGCUCUGUUUGCUUCAUAUUAUAAUAUCCUCUUUUUCGCAGUCUUUUUAUUAAAAAAGCUUUGAGAAAAUAUAUACUUUUAGUCUGUUUUUGUAUCUUUGACAAAGCUUUCACAACACCUUGUAUCAUUGUGGAUACAUGUUACACAGCAUUAUUUAAUAAAGGAAACCUUUGCAUUCCGAACAGGAAUAACCUUUGAGAAUCACAUACGUCAAUAUCAUAUUUUCGAAUAGCAUGAAGACUUGAAAAUUGAUCGUUCUUAGGAUACAUGAUGAGCAAUAUCUUCCAUAAUCAUCAGUGUAGAGCUCAAUGCAGCACAUCUUUUUCACAGGAUGUAAGAUAUUUAUUUCGUCAAUCAAUUAUAUCGUCAAGGCAAUUAUAUCGUCAUCGUUUUUCAUGUCACUGCCGAAAUACGAAUCAUUUGACAGAGCAUGAUCUUCAUCGGACAUUUUCUGGUUAAACAUUUCUUCAUGUUGAUCAUUUAUUUUUUCGUCCAUCACUUUAUUUUCGUGAGGUGCAAAAUCCAUUUUUUCAUUAAACAUACACACACUGAUAUAACACCAAUAUACACUGAUAUGUUGAAGAAACUUCAAACUCGAUUACUGACUGUUUUUCGUUUUUAUGUACUAUGGUUGUCGCGUCAUUUUUUCAAUAUGCUGCGUGUUUUAACGUGUUUGAAAAACAAUUUUAUUGCAGCGAUACACUAAAUAUUCUUAUUUGAAAAGAGUAUGGGAACAGAUGUACGUUAUUGUUAGUGUAAUAAAAAAAGAUUCGAUUAAAAAGAUAUGAUCAACAAGGCUCGAUAUGAUAUGAACUGUUACGUUCCGAUUCAACGGGAUGAAACAUGCAGGGGACAGUAAGUUUGUGUUCAGCUAUAAAAAAUUUUGUGUACACAUUUUAUAUAUUAUACAUUUUUUCUACGUAUCGCUUACCUUCUAUUUCUUUCACAAUGUAUUUUCUCAUUCGAAACUUCACUAUACCCCUUACAUUUUGGGAAGGAGACACUCAUUAAUGCCUGCGGCUUAUAAAUAUUUAGAUAUAGAUUAGGAAUCAGCAUAGGACUUGUAUCCUAUGUGGAAAUUGCAAUUGGUGAUUCUCGAGAAAAUCGGAUAAUCCUAACUCACACAACAUGGAAGGUAUUCAUCGACAGAUGCGAGAAUAUUGAGCAGCUCUGAUUUGUAAUUACGCCAUCAUCCCUAACCAUUCAAGACUUGAUCUCAAACAUUGUGUCGAGCAUGUAUAUUUAGGACUAUCUCAGAAUGUCUAUAACACAAGUGAGAAAUUUAAACAUUUUAUUUCAUAUUUACGUCAAGAAUAUGUUACUAAUAAACGCGAUGCUGUAAAUAUGUUGAUAAAUAUGUUGACAAUAUUUGUGAUAAAAGUUUCCUUAUAGAAUUGGGAGCAUACACUUUGGCUCAAAUUGUAAACCAUACUUACACGAAUAAAAUAAAAAAUGCGAAUAUUAAAAAAUAAAUAUUAAAAUUACA
rnacentral:lncRNA from 1 species